GUGAGGAAUUUUCCGCAAUGGGCGAAAGCCUGACGGAGCAAUGCCGCGUGAAGGAUGAAGGCCUAUGGGUUGUAAACUUCUUUUCUCAGAAAAGAAUUAUGACGGUAUCUGAGGAAUAAGCAUCGGCUAACUCUGUGCCAGCAGCCGCGGUAAGACAGAGGAUGCAAGCGUUAUCCGGAAUGAUUGGGCGUAAAGCGUCUGUAGGUUGUUUAAAAAAUAUUCUGUCAAAGAUUAGGGCUUAACCCUAGAUAGGCAGAAUAAACUUUUAAGCUAGAGUUUGGUAGAGGCAGAGGGAAUUCCCGGGGGAGCGGUGAAAUGCGUAGAUAUCGGGAGGAACACCAAAGGCGAAGGCACUCUGCUGGGCCAAUACUAACACUGAGAGACGAAAGCGAGGGGAGCAAAUGGGAUUAGAUACCCGGGUAGUCC
rnacentral:rRNA from 1 species